rnacentral:miRNA from 1 species
AUUCAGUACAUCAUCGAUUGU